GAAAUGCGAUAAGUAAUGUGAAUUGCAGAAUUCUGUGAAUCAUCGAAUCUUUGAACGCACAUUGCGCCCUCUGGCAUUCCGGGGGCAUGCCUGUCCGAGCGUCAUUACGCACCCUCAAGCCCGGCUUGUGUGAUGGGCCCUGGCGUCUCGUUCGCGAGACGGGCCCGAAAGGCAGCGGCGGCGUCGACCCGAUGAGCCCGAGCGUAUGGGGACUUUUGUCACACGUUUGCGGUGCGGACCGGCGCCUGCUUGACUUUUCUGAUUAUCCAGGUUGACCUCGGAUCAGGUAGGGAUACCCGCUGAACUUAAGC
rnacentral:misc_RNA from 1 species